ensembl:lncRNA
UUCAUUUCAUAGAAAACAUUUUAAUAAAAUUCCCCCAAUUUCCCACUAACAUACAGUAAGUUGAUCAAUAAUGAAUUCCAUUUUGAUGACAUUCAUUCUUAAACAUUAAAAAGGCACAUAAAACCUCCAGCACAUUAUUGCAUUUUUCUCCUUUAAACAUUUUUUUUCUGACUCUGUUAUUGCACCCCAGAAAUAUCCUCUCAGCCCACUGUUGACGCUCUAACCAGCUAGUGGGUGGGUUAAACAAAUCAGGCAGUACUUAAUUAAGCCUUGUGAGAUCUUGUUUUAAAAAGUAGAUAGACACUAAUGAUGUAACAAAAUGAAGAAGGCACAAAAAAAUCCCGGGAUUCUGUCACUACAGUUUUUACUCUACUGCUGUUUGGACGGUAAUUUGCUAGAACUUUUCUUAAAGUGCUUCAAGCCUUACUUGAGAUGCUUUGUGAUCGGUUAAACAAUAUAAAAGGCAUUUUUGUACAAUUAAAACUAAAUACACACAAGGUGCAUUAUUUAUAUUUCGUAAUUCUGUACACAUGUGUUUCCUCAUCCGUGUAUUUCUGUGUUUAUGAGGAUAAAAAAAAAAAAAUUCUAAAUCACAGUGAGGGAACUUCUGCAUUGUGAGGAUCCAGAGCCUCAAAGGUCUCUUCGAGGGUUCACACUUGAUGAUAAUGAUGCGGUUAAAAUUGGAUUUAGAACAUGACAAGAGUUGGGUUGGGAGAGCGGGUAGGCAAUGUGAUCAACGAGUGUCCUCACAACUAUAAAAAGGCCUGCGUGUGUGUGAAUGUAGAUAUCCUGCUAAAGGCCUAGUGUCAUCAGUCCCUGUCAGUACAUGACAGUCUUACAAAUUUACACAAUCCAGGCAGACAGUCCAUGACUUUGCUCCAAAUGACACUGGGGUAUUUGCUCUCCACUGAGCUUCUUAAACAACAUUUCAUAUAACAUGUACUUGGCAUUAAAACAUCACAGGCACGUAGACUUGGCAUUAUAUUCAAUUUCAAAGGCGCGUUCAGCAAAAGUGAACAUCCCAGUGAAGGUACAAAAUAAGGCACUCUGGGCACACAAUGGAGCGGUCAUGUCUGCCGGCAGCAGCAGCUGAGCUCAAUGGCAAUGGCACGGUGUUUCCUAAAGGGUGGACAAGAUGCAGUAAGGUCAAAUGGAAGCAUUGAAUAUAUAAAACUCAUAAUGUGGUAACAUCAGUAACACAAUGUGUGUUUGGUGUGUUCAUAAGCCCUUUAUACUUCCAUAAUUCUCCCUAAGCUAGUCAAAACCUGUGAGAGUUAGGGUUAAUUUUACAGGCAGGUUAAAAGCACAUCAAGCAGAAUAAAGUACAUUUAGGUACAAAAUGUUUUCCCCCAGUGUCUGGUUCUCAUUGUGAUAGAAGAAAAAAAAAAAAGCAAAGAUAAUGGCCUGUUUCCCGUUGGGGUUUUUUUUUGUCUUCGCUGUCGGUUUUGUCAUAGCCUGCCUUAGAAAAAAAUGCAAAGUAAGCCAAAUGUUAAAAAGGUCAAAAUGUUCAUGCUUAUCUACAGCCAAUCCUGUUAAGCCCUAUAAUUAUACGCAAUGCACCAGUCAUAAAAGGGUUAGAAGUAGCAGAAAAACAGCUGAUGAAUCUACAAGUCAUUCAAAGAAACCUUUUGCACAAAAGACUAUUAGAUCACUUUUUGGAUAAGAAAAAGUAAUUAAAAAACCCUUUUACCCCCUACUGACAACUACACUGAAGGAAAUAAUUAUUUGAGCCCCUGCUUAAUUACUAACUUUACUCACAAAGAAAUCAACAGUCUCUACUUUUUGUGAUAGUUUCAUUUUAAUGGAGAGAGACAGAAUAUCAACCAAAAAUCUAGAAAAA